rnacentral:rRNA from 1 species
UGAGGAAUAUUGGUCAAUGGACGAGAGUCUGAACCAGCCAAGUAGCGUGCAGGAUGACGGCCCUAUGGGUUGUAAACUGCUUUUGUUUGGGAAUAAUCGACAUUACGUUUAAUGUUUUGCAUGUACCAUUCGAAUAAGGACCGGCUAAUUCCGUGCCAGCAGCCGCGGUAAUACGGAAGGUCCAGGCGUUAUCCGGAUUUAUUGGGUUUAAAGGGAGUGUAGGCGGUUGGUUAGGCGUGUUGUGAAAUGUAGAUGCUCAACAUCUGACUUGCAGCGCGAACUGGCUGACUUGAGUACACACAACGUAGGCGGAAUUCAUGGUGUAGCAGUGAAAUGCUUAGAUAUCAUGAAGAACUCCGAUUGCGAAGGCAGCUUACGGGAGUGUUACUGACGAUUAAGCUCGAAGGUGCGGGUAUCGAACAGG